rnacentral:rRNA from 1 species
AUUGAACGCUGGCGGCAGGCUUAACACAUGCAAGUCGAACGAUGACUAACUAGCUUGCUCGUUAUGAUUAGUGGCGGACGGGUGAGUAACAUUUAGGAAUCUGCCUAGUAGUGGGGGAUAGCUCGGGGAAACUCGAAUUAAUACCGCAUACGACCUACGGGUGAAAGGGGGCGCAAGCUCUUGCUAUUAGAUGAGCCUAAAUCAGAUUAGCUAGUUGGUGGGGUAAAGGCCUACCAAGGCGACGAUCUGUAACUGGUCUGAGAGGAUGAUCAGUCACACCGGAACUGAGACACGGUCCGGACUCCUACGGGAGGCAGCAGUGGGGAAUAUUGGACAAUGGGGGCAACCCUGAUCCAGCCAUGCCGCGUGUGUGAAGAAGGCCUUUUGGUUGUAAAGCACUUUAAGCAGGGAGGAGAGGCUAAUGGUUAAUACCCAUUAGAUUAGACGUUACCUGCAGAAUAAGCACCGGCUAACUCUGUG